CUGGCCUGCAGUUCUUGAGUUUGAAACCUGUGAAAAAUAUUACCUCACCUCCUUGAAACACUUUAUUCUGUAUUUCCCUUGUGAUGAUGAUGUUUGUUGUUAUUUGCAUGGGAGUCAUAGAAGGUCACGCUCAAGAUAAACAAGAUUGCAUUUUUUGUAAGUUUGUGUUACCUCACUGCUUAGGAGUUUAUGAACUGAACAGCAAAGUUAAAUACAUGGGCUUCACAGUUUCUUAUAUGCUUCUGGAAUUGCUCACGUUACCUUAAAUGAUGAUGGUUUCUUACAGUACUUAUCGAUGAUGAUUUGACAAUGAUAAAAAUAAAUGUGCAACACUAUGAAUCACUUCUACAGCAUUCCUAGGAUUUCACAAUGUCCCAUCAGCGGUGAGCCAUUUUCUCAAGAGGCCUGCAGGCGACUAAUGUUUGGGGGCUGAAUGGUGCCCUCGGGCGUCAUGUCUGGCGACCCCUGAUGUAGACUCGAGUACUCAGCAGUCCCAUCUUGUUUGAUCGUCGUGCAGUUUGAUGAUUUGCUCCUGAAUGUGUGUGUCAAUGGGUUAAACUGCUUUAAAAAAAUAAAGGCAACACUUAAACA